rnacentral:tRNA from 1 species
GAGUGUAGCUCAGUGGUAGAGCACUUGCCUGGCAUGUGUGAGGGCCUGGAAUUAAUCCCCAGCACUC